rnacentral:rRNA from 1 species
UACGAAGGGGGGCUAGCGUUGUUCGGAAUUACUGGGCGUAAAGCGCACGUAGGCGGAUUGUUAAGUUAGGGGUGAAAUCCCGGGGCUCAACCCCGGAACUGCCUUUAAUACUGGCAAUCUCGAGUCCGAGAGAGGUGAGUGGAAUUCCGAGUGUAGAGGUGAAAUUCGUAGAUAUUCGGAGGAACACCAGUGGCGAAGGCGGCUCACUGGCUCGGUACUGACGCUGAGGUGCGAAAGCAUGGGGAGCGAACAGG